rnacentral:rRNA from 1 species
UGGGGAAUUUUGGACAAUGGGGGAAACCCUGAUCCAGCCAUGCCGCGUGAGUGAAGAAGGCCUUCGGGUUGUAAAGCUCUUUUGGCCGGAAAGAAAAGGCCACGGAUAACACCCGUGGUUCUUGACGGUACCGGCAGAAUAAGCACCGGCUAACUACGUGCCAGCAGCCGCGGUAAUACGUAGGGUGCGAGCGUUAAUCGGAAUUACUGGGCGUAAAGCGUGCGUAGGCGGUCCUCCAAGUCCGCUGUGAAAGCCCCGGGCUUAACCUGGGAAUUGCAGUGGAAACUAUGGGACUUGAAUCUGGCAGAGGGGGGUGGAAUGCCACGUGUAGCAGUGAAAUGCGUAGAGAUGUGGCGGAACACCGAUGGCGAAGGCAGCCCCCUGGGCUGAGAUUGACGCUCAGGCACGAAAGCGUGGGGAGCAAACAGGAUUAGAUACCCUGGUAGUCCACGCCCUAAACGAUGAACACUCGAUGUUGGCGAUAUACGGUCAGCGUCUAAGCGAAAGCGUUAAGUGUUCCACCUGGGGAGUACGCCCGCAAGGGUGA